rnacentral:sRNA from 1 species
CUUGGUAUUAGAAUCAAAUAGAAAUUUAUAUUUUUCAAAGCUAAGAUAAACAUGCCUUGAGGUAUUCUUGAUGCUUAAAGAGCAUGGAUCAGAUUCAUCGGAUAAAAAAAAGUUGUAGUGGUCUUUCUGAAAUGGAAUUUAAGUUUAGACUAUUUGAUCUCUCAUUGAAACUGAUAACAAAUCCUUCUAUUUGUUUUUUGUUUGUU